UACGAAUGUGGCGAGCGUUGUUCGGAAUCACUGGGCGUAAAGAGUACGUAGGCGGCUUGAUAAGUCAGGAGUGAAAUCCCCGGGCUCAACCCGGGAAUUGCUUUUGAAACUAUCUGGCUAGAAUGUCGGAGAGGUUGGCGGAAUUCCAAGUGUAGAGGUGAAAUUCGCAGAUAUUUGGAGGAACACCAGUGGCGUAAGCGGCCAACUGGACGACUAUUGACGCUGAGGUACGAAAGCGUGGGGAUCAAACAGG
rnacentral:rRNA from 1 species